AAGAUCAUACUAGAACUAAUGCACGAGAUCCUAUCAAAACUCCGCAGUUAAGCGUGCUUAAGCGAGAGCAGUACAAGGAUGGGUGACCCCUUGAGAAGUCCUCGUGUUGCACCCU